UAAGGAAUAUUGGUCAAUGGACGCAAGUCUGAACCAGCCAUGCCGCGUGAAGGAUUAAGGUCCUCUGGAUUGUAAACUUCUUUUAUCUGGGACGAAAAAAGGCGAUUCUUCGUCACUUGACGGUACCAGAUGAAUAAGCACCGGCUAACCCCGUGCCAGCAGCCGCGGUAAUACGGAGGGUGCAAGCGUUAUCCGGAUUCACUGGGUUUAAAGGGUGCGUAGGCGGGCAGGUAAGUCAGUGGUGAAAUCCUAGAGCUUAACUCUAGAACUGCCAUUGAUACUAUCUGUCUUGAAUAUUGUGGAGGUAAGCGGAAUAUGUCAUGUAGCGGUGAAAUGCUUAGAUAUGACAUAGAACACCUAUUGCGAAGGCAGCUUACUACGCAUAUAUUGACGCUGAGGCACGAAAGCGUGGGGAUCAAACAGGAUUAGAUACCCCUGGUAGUCCACGCCCUAAACGAUGAUUACCCGACAUUUGUGAUACACUAUAAGUGUCUGAGCGAAAGCAUUAAGUAAUCCACCUGGGAAGUACGACCGCAAGGUUGAAACUUAAAGGAAUUGACGGGGGUCAUAGCUGUUUCCUG
rnacentral:rRNA from 1 species